rnacentral:tRNA from 1 species
UUGGUAGAAACCAAAAAGAGGUAUAUCACUGUUAAUGAUAAAAUUGAAUUAUUAUUCCUGCCAAG